GAGUUUGAUCCUGGCUCAGAUUGAACGCUGGCGGCAUGCCUUACACAUGCAAGUCGAACGGCAGCACGGGAGCUUGCUCCUGGUGGCGAGUGGCGAACGGGUGUGUAAUGCAUCGGAACGUAUCCUGGAGUGGGGGAUAACGUAGCGAAAGUUACGCUAAUACCGCAUAUUCUGUGAGCAGGAAAGCGGGGGACCUUCGGGCCUCGCGCUCUUGGAGCGGCCGAUGUCGGAUUAGCUAGUUGGUGAGGUAAAGGCUCACCAAGGCGACGAUCCGUAGCAGGUCUGAGAGGAUGAUCUGCCACACUGGAACUGAGACACGGUCCAGACUCCUACGGGAGGCAGCAGUGGGAAUUUUGGACAAUGGGGGCAACCCUGAUCCAGCCAUGCCGCGUGAGUGAAGAAGGCC
rnacentral:rRNA from 1 species